GAUGAACGCUAGCGGAAGGCAUAAUACAUGCAAGUCGAACGGAUGUAGCAAUACAUUAGUGGCGCACGGGUGCGUAACGCGUAUGCAACCUACCUUCAUCAGGGGGAUAACUACCCGAAAGGGUGGCUAACACCGCAUAAUACUAUUGAGUGGCAUCACUUGAUAUUUAAAUCUGAGGAGGAUGAAGAUGGGCAUGCGUCUGAUUAGCUAGUUGGUGGGGUAACGGCGCACCAAGGCGACGAUCAGUAGGGGAACUGAGAGGUUGGUCCCCCACACUGGCACUGAGAUGCGGGCCAGACUACUACGGGAGGCAGCAGUAGGGAAUAUUGGUCAAUGGUGGGAACACUGAACCAGCCAUUCCGCGUGCAGGAAGAAGGGUCUCUGACUUGUAAACUGCUUUAGCAAGGGAAGAAAAAGCUCAUGCGUGAAAAAUUGACGGUACCUUGAGAAUAAGCACCGGCUAACUACGUGCCAGCCGCCGCCGUAACAC
rnacentral:rRNA from 1 species